CACCGGCGGCUCGAGUGGUGGCCACUUUUAUUGGGUCUAAAGCGUCCGUAGCCGGCUUGGCAAGUCCCCUGCGAAAUCUGGCGGCUUAACCGUCAGGCGUCCAGAGGAUACUGCCAGGCUUGGGACCGGGAGAGGUGAGAGGUACCUCAGGGGUAGGGGUGAAAUCUUGUGAUCCCUGAGGGACCACCAGUGGCGAAGGCGUCUCACUAGAACGGGUCCGACGGUCAGGGACGAAAGCUGGGGGCACGAACCGG
rnacentral:rRNA from 1 species